rnacentral:rRNA from 1 species
CAAGACCGGUGCCAGCCGCCGCGGUAACACCGGCAGCUCAAGUGGUAGCCAUUUUUAUUGGGCCUAAAGCGUUCGUAGCCGGUUUGAUAAGUCUCUGGUGAAAUCCUAUGGCUUAACUGUGGGAAUUGCUGGAGAUACUAUUAGACUUGAGGUCGGGAGAGGUUAGCGGUACUCCCAGGGUAGGGGUGAAAUCCUGUAAUCCUGGGAGGACCACCUGUGGCGAAGGCGGCUAACUGGAACGAACCUGACGGUGAGGGACGAA